GAUGAACGCUGACAGAAUGCUUAACACAUGCAAGUCAUUGGCGAAGCUGCGCUUGCGCAGUCUAGCCAAGGCGGACGGGUGAGUAACGCGUAAGGAACUUGCCCUGCAGACAGGGAUAACAGACGGAAACGACUGAUAACACCUGGUAUUGUCAGGCUGGCGCAUGCCGGCCUGAUGAAAGGAGACACUGCAGGAGAGCCUUGCGUCCUAUUAGCUAGUUGGUGGGGUAACGGCCCACCAAGGCGAUGAUAGGUAGCCGGCCUGAGAGGGUGAACGGCCACUAGGGGACUGAGAUACGGCCCUUACUCCUACGGGAGGCAGCAGUGGGGAAUAUUGGACAAUGGGGGCAACCCUGAUCCAGCAAUUCUGUGUGCACGAAGAAGGUUUUCGGAUUGUAAAGUGCUUUCAGCGGGGAAGAAGAAAGUGACGGUACCUGCAGAAGAAGCGACGGCUAACUACGUG
rnacentral:rRNA from 1 species